AGAGUUUGAUCAUGGCUCAGGACGAACGCUGGCGGCGUGCCUAACACAUGCAAGUCGAACGGACUGUUGCCCUUCGGGACAACAGUUAGUGGCGAACGGGUGAGUAACGCGUGGGUAACCUGCCCUUAUAUCGGGGAUAACUUGCCGAAAGGUGAGCUAAUACCGGAUGCUCUAUUGAGAUUGCAUGAUCUUAAUAGUAAAGGUGGCCUCUGAAUAUGCUACCGUAUAAGGAUGGACCCGCGUCUGAUUAGCUAGUUGGUGAGGUAACGGCUCACCAAGGCGACGAUCAGUAGCCGGCCUGAGAGGGUGAACGGCCACACUGGGACUGAGACACGGCCCAGACUCCUACGGGAGGCAGCAGUGGGGAAUCUUCCGCAAUGGACGAAAGUCUGACGGAGCAACGCCGCGUGAGUGAAGAAGGUCUUCGGAUUGUAAAACUCUGUUUUUUGGGAAGAACGGUCUCUAUGUGAAUAAUGUAGGGAAUUGACGGUACCAAAGGAGGAAGCCCCGGCUAACUACGUGCCAGCAGCCGCGGUAAUACGUAGGGGGCAAGCGUUGUCCGGAAUUAUUGGGCGUAAAGAGCGCGCAGGCGGCUAUUUAAGUCUACCGUGAAAGCUUACGGCUCAACCGUAACGGGUCGGUGGAUACUGGAUGGCUUGAGGGCAGGAGAGAAAAGUGGAAUUCCAGUGUAGCGUGAAAUGC
rnacentral:rRNA from 2 species